rnacentral:rRNA from 1 species
GACGAACGCUGGCGGCGUGCUUAACACAUGCAAGUCGAACGGAAAGGCCCUGCUUUUGUGGGGUGCUCGAGUGGCGAACGGGUGAGUAACACGUGAGUAACCUGCCCUUGACUUUGGGAUAACUUCAGGAAACUGGGGCUAAUACCGGAUAGGAGCUCCUGCUGCAUGGUGGGGGUUGGAAAGUUUCGGCGGUUGGGGAUGGACUCGCGGCUUAUCAGCUUGUUGGUGGGGUAGUGGCUUACCAAGGCUUUGACGGGUAGCCGGCCUGAGAGGGUGACCGGCCACAUUGGGACUGAGAUACGGCCCAGACUCCUACGGGAGGCAGCAGUGGGGAAUAUUGCACAAUGGGCGGAAGCCCGAUGCAGCAACGCCGCGUGCGGGAUGACGGCCUUCGGGUUGUAAACCGCUUUCGCCUGUGACGAAGCGUGAGUGACGGUAAUGGGUAAAGAAGCACCGGCUAACUACGUGCCAGCAGCCGCGGUGAUACGUAGGGUGCGAGCGUUGUCCGGAUUUAUUGGGCGUAAAGGGCUCGUAGGUGGUUGAUCGCGUCGGAAGUGUAAUCUUGGGGCUUAACCCUGAGCGUGCUUUCGAUACGGGUUGACUUGAGGAAGGUAGGGGAGAAUGGAAUUCCUGGUGGAGCGGUGGAAUGCGCAGAUAUCAGGAGGAACACCAGUGGCGAAGGCGGUUCUCUGGGCCUUUCCUGGCGCUGAGGAGCGAAAGCGUGGGGAGCGAACAGGCUUAGAUACCCUGGUAGUCCACGCUGUAAACGGUGGGUACUAGGUGUGGGGUCCAUUCCACGGGUUCCGUGCCGUAGCUAACGCUUUAAGUACCCCGCCUGGGGAGUACGGCCGCAAGGCUAAAACUCAAAGGAAUUGACGGGGCCCCGCACAAGCGGCGGAGCAUGCGGAUUAAUUCGAUGCAACGCGUAGAACCUUACCUGGGUUUGACAUGGAUCGGGAGCGCUCAGAGAUGGGUGUGCCUCUUUUGGGGUCGGUUCACAGGUGGUGCAUGGCUGUCGUCAGCUCGUGUCGUGAGAUGUUGGGUUAAGUCCCGCAACGAGCGCAACCCUUGUUCACUGUUGCCAGCACGUUAUGGUGGGGACUCAGUGGAGACCGCCGGGGUCAACCCGGAGGAAGGUGGGGAUGACGUCAAGUCAUCAUGCCCCUUAUGUCCAGGGCUUCACGCAUGCUACAAUGGCUGGUACAGAGAGUGGCGAGCCUGUGAGGGUGAGCGAAUCUCGGAAAGCCGGUCUCAGUUCGGAUUGGGGUCUGCAACUCGACCUCAUGAAGUCGGAGUCGCUAGUAAUCGCAGAUCAGCAACGCUGCGGUGAAUACGUUCCCGGGGCU